rnacentral:rRNA from 1 species
CAGUAGCCGCGGGAAUACGGAGGGUGCAAGCGUUAAUCGGAAUUACUGGGCGUAAAGCGCACGCAGGCGGUCUGUCAAGUCAGAUGUGAAAUCCCCGGGCUUAACCUGGGAACUGCAUUUGAAACUGGCAGGCUAGAGUCUUGUAGAGGGGGGUAGAAUUCCAGGUGUAGCGGUGAAAUGCGUAGAGAUCUGGAGGAAUACCGGUGGCGAAGGCGGCCCCCUGGACAAAGACUGACGCUCAGGUGCGAAAGCGUGGGGAGCAAACAGGAUUAGAGACCCCUGUAGUCCCUGUCUCUUAUAC